UGCUUUUGUAUGGGAAAAAAUCAUCUUACGUGUAGGGUGUUGAUGGUACCAUGAGAAUAAGGAUCGGCUAACUUCGUGCCAGCAGCCGCGGUAAUACGAAGGAUCCGAGCGUUGUCCGGAUUUACUGGGUUUAAAGGGUGCGUAGGCGGGGAAUUAAGUCAGUGGUGAAAGCUGGUAGCUCAACUAUCAAAUUGCCAUUGAAACUGAUUCUCUUGAGUACGGUUGAGGUAGGUGGAAUGUAACAUGUAGCGGUGAAAUGCUUAGAUAUGUUACAGAACACCGAUUGCGAAGGCAGGCUACUAAACCGUAACUGACGCUGAGGCAAGAAAGCGUGGGGAUCAAACA
rnacentral:rRNA from 1 species